UACAGAGGUCCCAAGCGUUGUUCGGAUUCACUGGGCGUAAAGGGUGCGUAGGCGGUCGGGUAAGUCUGAUGUGAAAUCUCACAGCUUAACUGUGAAACUGCAUUGGAUACUAUCCGGCUCGAGGAAUGGAGGGGAGACUGGAAUACUUGGUGUAGCAGUGAAAUGCGUAGAUAUCAAGUGGAACACCAGUGGCGAAGGCGAGUCUCUGGACAUUAACUGACGCUGAGGAGCGAAAGCAUGGGGAGCGAACAGG
rnacentral:rRNA from 1 species